GUGUUGUAUGAGCCGAGAGACAGUUGGCACAUCCCCUAGAUAAGGACGGAGAUGUAUAUUUUGUCCAAAUAUAACAACACAUGUUGAUAAAAAGGCAUAAAUAUGUUCUGAUAUUUAUAUCGGGGCAUGUCUUUCAACAGUUUUUUUUU
rfam:Neocallimastix californiae strain G1 LY90scaffold_85, whole genome shotgun sequence.